UUUGGCGUUUGAAAUGGUUUCUGGUUCACAGGCCGAGCUGCUUCUAGGAAUGAACAACAUAAUCUGCUGGAUUUAAGGCUUGCUAGAUAUAUGGAUUUAAGAAUUGUAAAAAUAUUUUGAUAUCUGAUCAACAAUAUUAAUAGUGAUGAAUUCUCUUUAACUUCAA